GGUGUGCGAAGGUGGAAUCUAAUGGAGAAAUCUCUUCUGUUCAUCGGAGGUCAAAUGGGUCUGAGUCGAUCGGACGUAGGAUGGAGAUGGAGAUUGAAAUGGUGAACCGACGUGGAUCAAACGAUCGUUUUACCCGGAAAUUCAGGUCGCCGGGAAAAGAGGAUGAUGGUGACGGAAUCGGAGCUGUUAGAGAGAAACUGAUGUUUGAUCUCUUAACAGAAGCUGAUAAGAUGAAAGAAACAAUCUUCAAAGAAGGUAUGGAUGAACAACCCAAGAAGUUUCCGUCGCCGUCGCCG
rnacentral:misc_RNA from 1 species